AUGACGCGAGGAGAUAGGCUUAUUCAGGCCUUUUUAGAUCCAUAUUCGAGGAUCUAGUGUUUCCUUCAUGAAAAAUCAAGAGGGAAGCCCCCCACCUUCGUCAGAUCCGGUUCAAAUGGAGAAGAACUCAGACGAUACCGACAGUUCAAGGUUCAAGUAACGACUUUCUCUCUUCCUUUUCCCUUUUUGUUUCAAAACUGAUUUUUUAAAAAGAAAAUCAAAAACAAAAAAAUAAAAAAAUUGAAGAUGUAUAUAAAAUAAAGAAACUGAAAUAAACAGACGCAAGAAUGAAUUUCAACCUUUUCCCUUUUUUUUGAUUGCUUGAAUCGUCUGCGUAUAUUUACAAACUGACUUUUGUUUCGGUUUUAUAACCGAUUACAACAGGAAAGAAAACUGUAACACCCCAAACCCGGCCUAGAUGUUAUGGCCGAAUCUGGCGUGUCACAUCAAACCAUUUUUCAAAUUUGAUCGUUCCGGUGAAAAUCCAUUACUAAAUCUAAAUUCCUUUAUUAUUAUUAAACUAAAGUUCUCAUCAAAACGUUUACCAAUUUGUUUGCCUUUGGUAUAUUACCUCAUUUAAAAUCGCGGAAGCAUUUUGAAAACUUUGUUGUUGGAAGCUCGUGUUCCUUAGAAGAAUCAUGCCAUUUUGAAAUCUCGAGUUUUCAUAGACUAGCAGUUUAGUAUAAGAAAUCACAAUCCAAAUUAAAACUUAAAACCCACCAACGGCCUUACUACAUAAAUUAAAAACCCAAAACGAAAUCUAAUUGCAAUUAAAAGAAACAGAAACAGUAUUGUGGCCAUCUCUGAGUCCCUCGCAGCUCCAAACCAUUUAAGCUUAGAGAUUACCUGCACAGUUAGAAAUGGGGUGAGUUUACGAAAACUUAGUGUGUAAUCCCAAUAACAAACAAACAGUGAAUAACACAGUAUCAGUACAAUUUGGGCCAAAGCCCUAUUCAGUCUCGACAUAUACUGGGCCGAAGCCUUUCGUUUAAUGGUUACUGGGCCGAAGCCUUUACUGUAAACGGUAUGGCCCAUAAGCCCAUUUCAAUAUCACAUGUAAUACCAAUAGAUGUAUGCAAGCCCAUUUGGAGAGACUACUCAACCCACCAUCCGCUACUCUCCACCCGUACCAACCAAGCUCUCCAUGUGGGGAAUAACUCAACCCACCCAACCAAACUCUCUACUGGCAGCAUAGUUGCUUUAUCAUAUAACUGGAGGCCUAUCCUAUUUUAAUAACUGGGGCAAAGUCCUUUUUGAUAAACUGGGGCAAAGCUCUUUUAGGUAAACUGGGGCAAAACCCUUUUCGGUAAACUAGGGCAAAGCCCUUUUAGCACUUCCUCCAUUUUUAUAAAACCCAACCCAUGCAACAUGUCAUGUAUGCAGAAUGUCAUGCCCAUAUUUGAAUCAAACAAUCACAGUCAAGUCAUUCAGAUCACCAACAUAUAUUCACAAACAAAUCUUUCAACCACACAGUCCAAGUCAGUCACUUGCCCACAAGGGCAAAACAGUCAUUUAACACCCUAGAGGCAAAAUGGUAAUUUUACCCCACAAGGGUAUCUCGAUAAUUCUACCCUACAGGGGUAUUUUAGUAUUUCUACCCUACAGGGGUAUUUCGAUAAUUCUACCCUACAGGGGUAUUUUGAUAUUUUACAAAUCGAGAGUAUUUCGAUAAUUUCACAAAUCAGGGGUAUUUUGGUAAUUUUACUGAUCGAGGGUAUUUUGGUAAUUUUGUAAACCAAGGGUAUUUUAGUAAUUUUUCAAAAUCAAGGGUAAAACGGUAAUUCUAUAAAUCGAGGGUAAAAUGGUAAUUCUGUAAAUCGAGGGUAAAACGGUAAUUCUAUAAAUCGAGGGUAAAAUGGUAAUUCUAUAAUUCGAGGGUAAAACGAUAAUUAUGUAAAUCAAGGGUACUUUGGUAAUUUUACAAAUUGAAGGCAUUUCAGUAAUUUGGUAAACUAAAGUAUUCUAAGCAGGGAUAACAAUACGAAUGGGCCUAAAGCCUAUUCUUGGCCCAAAUGGGCCUACACGCUCGUGUGGCCCUUUUAGCCCAAAUCUAACCACAAAUAUGAGAUUCACCUAGCCUAGUCCAAUAUUUACUACACAAUCAAACAACUUAUCCAAUUGGGCUCGUAGGCCUACAUGACCCCUUUCGGCCCAUCGCGGCUCGAAGUAGCCAUCCUACAGCUAGAGUAGCAAGAAAAUACACACCUGAUAGGAGGCUGGAGUUAAUCCGCGCUCCGAGCACUCUUAGCCGAUGCCCAACCCAAACGAGCACGCCAUAAAGCGAAAGUGAUCAGCCAAAAAAGGUACCCUUACUCUCCUCAUGGUUCUCUCUAUUUAAAGCCAGCUUUGCAUCCACUUUUAUGUUAGCUUCCCGAUGUGGGAUCCCUCCAACAUCAAAGUUUAAAUUCAACACAAACUCUUGCUGCCCCCUGUUAGCAAAAUAAAUGAAUUUUGAUUGCCAUGAGUUUCGAACCCUAGACCUCUUUGCCAACUCUAUGACGCCACCUUCCUGCCUCUUAUGUGGCGCUACUUUGCCACCAGACCACAAGGCUUUUUGUGGCACAAUUUCUCCAACAAUAUUCUUAAGGCCUACCUACUACACCUAGGGUUUGAUUCACCUUAAACCAAAAUUUUUGCUAGAGUCCAGGUUUGAACCCAGGACUUCUCCAACACUUCUCAGCACACUUAACCACUAAAACAAGCCUUCAUUAACGAAAUUUACAUGCACAACAAAAUAUUAUAAGCUACCUUCAACCACUCCCAUGCUCAAGGCCCAAAACUUCUAGGCUCAAAUUCAGGGUGUUACAAAAAUGCUCCCCUUUCUCUGUUGUUGCUGCUUCUGUUGUUUUUUGGGUUUGUUUGCAGGUGUGCGAGGUCAACGAAGGCAAAAACUGACCAUUUUGGUGCAAAACGGUGGCAGAGGCGCCUGGGGUGGUCAGGUCUCGGGACCAGGCGCGGGUGGUGCGCUCGAGGCACGUGGGGGAAGCAGCGCGGCGCAAAGAAGGCUCAGAAACCCUAGGGUUUCUGAGUUGGUUUAGUUCUUGGGCCUUUUGGACCCUUAAGUCUGGGCUUAUUGGGCCAUCCAAAUAUUGGGCUUGUAUUUGGGUUUUUAUUUAAACGGGCCAGGCAAAAUUGAGCCCGUACAGCUGCCCUUCUUUGCUCAUCGUCGUGGAACGGGAAUGGAGCAAAGGCUAAAAGAGGGCCAAUUUUGCCUGGACCUGUCGAGUUUCGACUUCUUUUGGCACUUCUUUUCUUCGAGUAGCUUCAAUAGGCCCUACUCUAGUCCGCUCCACUGUAACUUUAGAGAGAUGAUACUUGUUUUAUCUACUCUACUGCAACUUCAGAGAGAUAAGAUUUAUAACUUCAACCUACUCCACUGCAUCUUCAAGGAGAUAAGGUUUGCGACUUCGAUCUACUUUGCUGCAACUUCAGGAAGAUCAGAUUCGUCAUGGUAGAUUUGGUCCGACCUGCUGCAACUUCAGAGGUAUAAGACUUGUAGCUUUAAUCUACUCUACCACAACUUCAGAGAGAUAAGAUCUGCUAUUUUCGGUCUGCUCCACUACAAUUUCAGGGAGAUAAGAUUAGUCGCUUCAAUCAGCUUCACUGCAACUUCAAGAAGAUAAGACUUGCCAUCUUCAAUCUGCUCCACUGCAACUUCAAGGAGAUAAGACUUGCAACUUUGACCUACUCCACUGCGUCUUCAGGGAGAUAAGGUUAGUGGCUUUGAUUCGCCUCACUGUAACUUCAGGAAGAUAAGAUUUGCUAUCUUCGGUCUGCUCCACUGCAACUUCAGGGAGAUAAGAUUGAUGGUUUUAAUCUUCUUCACUACAACUUCAGGAAGAUAAGAUUCGCCAUAAUUCGUAGUUUCAAUUGAUUUUACUACACUGUCCUCUGAGGGACAUGACCUGUAGAUUCGAGUUCUUGAGCCUAUGCAUAUGUCAAAUGAUCAGAAUGAAUCAAAUGCUCCUGACUAUAUGUGUAUGAAUGAUGUUUGUGAUGCAUAAUAUUAUUAUGCUUAAUUUGGUAUUACUUGCUGUUCAUCAAGGUUUUAUCAACGACGUAUUAUCCAGCCCUUCUCUUCAAUUUGGUAUCUCUUGAAGAAUAAUCACAAUUUGGGUUUUUCUUUUCCAAUAUUUCUUUGAAUUUGGGUAAUUUAAACUAAUUAGUCUCAUUUCAGGUCCUUAUAUUAUUUAAAAUCGUUUCAGAGUAAUAUGUAGAACUCCUUUUAAAUGUCAUUAGUCCAUUAAUCAUUAUUUCAAUGAAAAGUGUCUGAAAGAGAUUAUCGUAAUGGACAAGACGAAAUUUUAUUGAGAAAAAGGCUUGAAAUGAACAAGUAAUAGCAAAUUUUGCUAGGGUACAAAAUGAAUAACAUGAAAAUAGGUGCCCCAGAUAUCGUAGUAUGAGCUUCUCUACACAGAGCUUCUCGAGGACCCUUUGAACUUGAUACGCGUUUAGAAGACCAAGAGUCUUUUGUUGACGCCCCAAGAUGUAGCAUCUCUUCCUCUUGUUAAUUCAAAGAAGACAAGACCAACGUAUGCCCCAAUUUUGAUUAAAAUUUGAGUCGCCCAUUCUUGGGUUUUCAACUCAAAAUCUCUUUGGUCUCAAAGCGCCCUCUUGCGGGUUUUCACUUUGGGCUCUCCGUUUCCUUUUUUUUAAGUAAAGUACCUCUUGACCGAAUCUGAAUUCACGGGGUUAGGCAAAUUUUUUUCAUCCAUCUCAAUCAAAAUUAGAGCCCUUCCAGAGAAGGCUUUCUUCACCACAUAAGGUGCUUCCCAAUUUGGCAUCUAUUUUCCUUUGAAGUCCUUUUGUAUAGGGAGGAUCUUUUUUAAAACAAGGUCUGCUUCAUAAAAUUCUCUAGGACGAACCUUCUUGUUAUAAGCCCGCAUCAUCCUCUUUUGGUACAUUUGACAAUGGUGAAUAGCUUUCAACCUUUUUUCUUCAAUUAGGUUCAGCUGACCAUAUCGAGACCGGAUCCAUUCUGCUUCAUCUAACUUUAGCUCCGACAACACUCGAAGGGAUGAAAUUUCAACCUCGAUAGGCAGGACCGCCUUCACUCCAUAAACCAAAGAGAAAGGUGUUGACCCGGUAGAGGUUCUGACUGAUGUUCGGUAAGCAUAAAGGGUGAACGGUAACUUCUCAUGCCAGUCUUUAUAAGUCUCAGUCAUUUUUCCCACGAUCUUCUUGAUGUUUUUAUUGGCCGCUUCCACCGCACCAUUCAUUUUUGGGCGAUAUGGCGACGAGUUAUGGUGUUUAAUAUUGAAUUGGCUACAAACAUCUGCUAUCGUGCUGUUGUUCAAGUUCAGUGCGUUGUCGGAUAUGAUCCUCUCAGGCAUUUCAUAUCGACAUAUAAUCUCCUUUUUUAAGAAUUUGCUAACUGCCGAUUUCGUCACAUUGGCAUAAGAAGUGGCUUCUACCCACUUGGUGAAGUAAUCGAUAACCACAAAGAUGAAUUGGUGCCCAUUAGACGCUUUUGGUGAGAUCGGCCCUAUGACAUCCAUGCCCCAAAUAGAAAAAGGCCAUGGGGAAGUCAUGACAUGAAGAGGUGAAGGAGGCACAUGAAUCUUAUCUCCGUAGAUUUGGCACUUAUGGCACUUCUUGGUAUAGUUGAUGCAAUCCCCCUCCAUAUUGGACCAAUAGUAUCCGAACCUCAUGAUUUGUCUGGCCAUUGUGAAACCAUUGGCAUGUGUUCCACAGACGCCCUCAUGGACCUCUUCUAAGAUUUGCUUAGCCUCGACAGCGUCUACACAUCUUAAGAGCACCUGAUCUUUUCUUCUUUUGUAGAGGAUCUCUCCGUCUAAGACAUAGUCACUAGCUAGCCUUCUCAAUAUCCUUUUAUCGUUCUCAGUCGUAUGAUCUGGGUAUUCACGAUUCCUCACAUAUCGCAGUAUAUCUUGAUACCAAGGGUGGUCAUCUUUUUCUUCCUCUUCAUCGAUGUUGUAGUAAUGAGCCGGAGCCUCAUAGAUACUCAUCUGGAUAGGCUUCAUAUCUUCUUGCUUGUUUACUUUGAUCAUAAAAGCUAAAGUUGCCAACGUGUCAGCCAUCUGGUUUUCAUUUCGUGGGAGAUAGCAAAAAGUGAUGUCGUCGAACUCCUUAAUUAGCUCCAGAACUAGCUUUUGUUAAUUGAUCAAUUUAGGGUCUCUUGUCUCUCAUUCACCUUUAAGCUGAUAGAUCACAAUGCAGAAUCCCCAUAUACUUCUAGCACCUUUAUUUUGCGUUCAAUAGCCGCAUGGAUACCCAUGAUGCAUGCUUCAUACUCCGCCAUGUUAUUUGUGCAAUCAAAAUCCAAUUUACUAGUAAAGGGAUAAUGAUCUCCAUUUGGGGAUACCAGAACUGCCCCAAUUCCGUUACCCACAGCAUUUGAGGCUCCGCCAAAAUUCUAUCUCCAAGGAUGAUCUUCUUGAAAGUUUUCUUCCGUGGUCGCGACGUACAUUAAGUCUUCAUUUGGGAAAUCAAAACUCAAAGGCUCAUAAUCUUCUAGAGCCCUACUGGCCAGAAAAUCUACUAUUGCACUCCCUUUUAUAGCCUUCUGGUUCACGUAGACUAUGUCAAAUUCAGAAAGCAGAAUUUGCCAACGAGCCAUUCUUCCGUUCAGAGCAUUUGAUUCCAUCAUGUACUUUAAAGGGUCUAAUUUUGAGAUGAGCCAAGUUAUGUGGUACAACAUAUACUGUCUCAAUCUCUGGGUUGUCCAGAUCAAAGCACAACAUAAUUUCUCGAUUGGCAAAUAUCUUGUCUCGUAUAUCGCAUUUUCUUUUCUCUUGUCUCAUCAUGUUGGCCUAACACACACCCUAUGGAGUUCUCGAACACUGCUAAAUAGAGUAUCAGUGGCUUAUCUGGGCAAGGUGGCAUCAGCACCGGGGCAUUAGACAAGUAAUGCUGGACUUUAUCAAAAGUUCUUUGGCACUCCUCGUCCCAUAUACUUGGGUUGUGUUUCCUAAGGAGGCGGAAUAUCGUGUCACAUUUCUUCGUUAGUUGUGAAAUGAACCGAGCGAUGUAAUUUAGCCUUCCUAGGAAACCUCAAACUUCUUUUUGAGUGCGUGGCAGAGGUAAUUCUUGUAUGGCUUUGACUUUUUUUGGGUCGAUUUUGAUCCCCUUUUCACUUACUACGAAUCCUAAUAGCUUUCCCGACCUGGUGCCAAAAGUAUAUUUCGCGGGAUUGAGCUUUAGCUGGAACUUUUUUAAUCUUAAAAAUAGUUCCCUCAAGACUUGUACAUGCUCAUUUUCUGUCCUGGAUUUCACGAUCAUAUCAUCGACGUAAACUUCGAUCUCCUUGUGCAUCAUGUCAUGGAACAGAGUUACCAUAGCUCUCUGAUAUGUCGCUCCUGCGUUAUUUAGUCCAAAUGGCAUCACCUUAUAACAGAACGUUCCCCACAUGAUCACGAAUGUGGUUUUUUCCAUGUCUUCGGGAUGCAUUUUUAUCUGGUUGUAUCCCAAGAAACCAUCCAUGAAGGAGAAAAGUGAGUAACCCGCCGUGUUAUCUACUAAUGUAUCAAUGUGAGGCAAUGGGAAAUUGUCUUUUGGGCUGGCUUUAUUCAGAUCUCGAUAGUCCAUGCACAUCCGUACCUUUCCAUCUUUUUUAGGAACUGAGACUAUAUUGGCUACCCAUUCUGAGUAUUUAACCACUUGUAAGAAACCGGCGUCGAAUUACUUUUUGACCUCUUCUUUUAUCUUCAACAAAACAUCAAGUCUCAUUCUUCGAAGUUUCUGUUGAACUGGCUUGCACUCUUCCUUUAUGAGGAGCCGGUGUACCACUAUAUCAGUAUUCAACCCGGGCAUGUCUUGAUACGACCAUGCGAAGACAUCCUUGAAUUCUUGUAGUAACUCAAUGAGGUCUCGCCUUGUUUCUGGGGCGAUAAAGGCCCCAAUCUUUACCUCUUUUCCUUCUCCUAAGCUCACGAUUUCCACUGACUCCUUGUGAGGUAGGAUUUGUUUCUCAUCUUGUUCUACCAUCCUUAACAAAUCCGAAGAUAGGUUACAGUUUCGGUCAUCUUCAAAAUCCUGAGAAUCAUCCGUACAAGUAUCUUGCUCAAAAGGAGACUCUGAGUCAGUAGCAGUGUCACUCAUAUCAUUGAUAUCUGGAGACCUGUUAUAGAGAUGAAGAAAAGUCCAAAGAACAAAAGAAUCUAAGAAUAUUUAUUGGCGAUAUGAUUAUGAAUGAAAUGGAAAGAAUAAAAGAAUAUUUGCUCAAGAUGAUACGCAAAGAUGCAUUUUUAUUGAAACAACGAUACUGGAUAAGAGCCUAUUUCACAAAAGGAUUCUUAUUGCCCCUAGGCUUAGAGCAAUAAGCUUGUUUUGGACAUUACUCUGAAUCAAUUUUAAAAGUUACAGGGAUCUCCUCUGUGGUCCAAUUGUUUACAACGCUCCCAGGCACGUAUGGGCAAAUGCCUAAUUGAUCCUCUUCUCUUGUUUCUUCCUCGGAUAUGACAUUAAUGCUCCAAGUAGCCCCUUUCCUUGUCGACUUUCCUUCAGAAUAAAUAGUCCCUCCCGACACGAAUGUUUUGGAUAUGUGGGGAAAGGUCAUUGGCUCCUAUUUGACUUCUUCUCCAUUUAAACGGGCCCUUCUCCUCUCUUGUUUCUUCUCUAUUUCCUUUCUCCUUUUCCUUGCAUUUGGCUUGUACACUAAGACGAAACGGUCUCGUUUGUCUUUGAGCAUGGGUGCCUCGAUCCUUCCUUGUAAGCUCCUUCCAAGCCCAUUUCCGGGAAAAGCUCCUUUCCCAACUGUCAGUUGUAAGCCCAUCUUGGUAGUUUUAGAGAUUUUGGGCACAGGGACCUUGUUCCCUUCGACAAUAAAGAUUGCGUUCACAAAUUCUAACGAUUGGAAAGAGCAUUCUAUUGCUUCAUCAUCUGUCCUCACAUAAGGUGCGUCGCUGGUAACAAACGCAAUGAUAUCCUCUUCUGCGUUUACAGUCACCAAUCGCCCUUUAGUUAUAAAUUUAAGCUUUUGAUGCAGUGAUGAUGGCACUGCCCCUGCUGAGUGAAUCCAGGGCCUUCCCAAUACGUAAUUGUAAGAGGGCUUGAUGUCCAUCACUAAGAAAUCUAUCUCGUAUGUUCUUGGAUCGAUUAAAAGGGGUAUUUCAAUCCUCUCCAUUACCUUCCUUUCAGUACCAUCAAAUGCCCUCACUAUAUUCUGGCAUGUCUUCAUAUGAGAGCCAUCUACUGGCAGCCUAUUCAGCGUAGAUAGGGGUAGGACAUUUAGUGCAGACCCAUUGUCAAUCGACACUCCCGAUAGUGUAUAUCCUUUACAGCGGGUAGUAAUGUGUAGCGCUUUUGUUGACCCUAUUCCUCCUGGCGGUAUUUCAUCUUCAUUGAAAAAUAUGAAAUUAUCAGCGUUUAUAUUAUUGACGAGAUAGUUUAGCUUGUUGACAGAGAUAUCAUCCGCGACGUAAGUUUUAUUAAGUACUUUCAUUAACGCGCUUCGAUGUGUCUCCAAACUCAAGAGCAAAGCUAGUACCGAGAUACGAGCCGGUUGCUUGUGUAACUGUUCAACCACGCUAUACUCACUAUGCUUUAAGAAUUUUAGGAAUUCUCUAGCUUCUUUUUUGGUUAUUGGCUCGUUAAUUGGCGAUUCGGGCCUGGCCGUCUUUUCCUUCCUUUACUCGACUAUCAGGGUCUUUCCUUUGACAAUUUUAGUUUCUGUACUAACAGGAUCAUAACUUUUUCCACUACGUGUAUAGAAACCUACAUCUUGGUUUUCCUUUGAAGUAUUAGCCGAGUUCUCCCUGCCCGGGAUCGUCACGUUGUAGUCGUAAUUCCAGGGAACCCUUUUACUAUCCUUGUAAGGGAAGGAUAUUGGCUUCUGAAUUAUGACUCUCGGUACCAUUUGCAUUCCUGCUUCAACGUUCUUCGGUCACAAAAUUAUCACCAUAGGAUGAUUAACUCUUUGGACCCCUUCUGUUGUUCCUUCUUCUGAGGCGUAAACCUCUCAUUCUUCUGACCCUUCGAUUUUUUCAUAAAAUUUCAUCUCCUUAUUGUCCAUCAAGUUUUGCACUAUGGACCUGAACUUAUUGCACUCUUGGAUGUUAUGGCUUUCAUCGGCAUGAAACUCGCAGUAUUUUCUUACUUCUCUAGGCCUUUCUUUUGAAUCUUGUGUGAUCAAACCUCCUUCCACUAUCUUUUUCCAAACCCAUUUCAACGGGGUUUUUACCUCUGAUACAUCUAUCUUGGUUCUCCUCCUUCCAUUUUUGAUUAUUUCGUUUACCCCUUUGUCUGAAUGACUAGGUAGCGGAUUCCCAGCCAUAUUAGGUCCUGUGGGCUCAUCGAACUUCACAACGCCCAUGCCUAUGAGCCUUUCGACUACCUUUUUGAAGGCAGUACAGUUCUCAAUCGUAUGUCCCGAGAUCCUGCAUGGUAUUCGCAUUGAGCGUUUGCGUCAUACCACUUAGGGAACGGAGGCUGCAGGGGUUUCAAGUAGUAAGGUGACACCACAUGGGCAUCGAAUAAAUUUUGAUACAACUCCCUGUAUGACAUUGGGAUAGGAGUAAACUGGACUCUUUCCGUGUUAGGCUUCGGGUUUGAAUCUUGUCUUGCAGAGCCCUGAUAGCUGGUAGUCACUGUCUUUGGUUGGCUCACAGUGACUGGCUUAGAAUAACUCUUAUUGUAUACGCUCGCAUUGUUCACUUCAUUUUCUUUCCCUUUCAGAGCUGAUUUCUUUUCCCCUGUUUCAAUCUUCCUACAUCUUAUCGCGUUCUCUAUCAUCUCUCCUGACAUUACUAUGUCUGAGAAGCUCUUAGUAGUGCUUCCCAACAUGUGGUUAAUAAAUAGAGCUUUCAGAGUGUUGACAAAAAGCAUAGUCGUUUCCUUCUCCAGAAGAGGUGGUUGGACUUGCGUCGCCACCUCUCUCCAUCUUUGGGCAUACUGCCUAAAGCUCUCAUUUUGUUUCUUUUCCAUGUUUUGUAAUGUGAUUCGGUCGGCUGCUAUGUUUGUCAUAAAGGCCGUAUUGUUUCAUGAAAGCUUGUGCCAAGUCCUUCCAUGAAUGGAUUUGCGCGCGACUUAGUUGGUUGUACCAUUUGGCCGCAGACCGACCAAACUAUCUUGAAAGCAAUGGAUUAAUAAUUGCUCAUUAUGAACAUACCCUACCAUUCUUCGACAAAACAUGGUGAUGUGAGCCUCUGGACAGCUGGUUCCAUUGUAUUUUUCAAAGCCUGGGAUUUUGAACUUAGGACGGAGGACUAGGUCUGGGACCAAACUCAAAUCUUUGGCGUCGAUCCCACAAUGAUAGUCAGCACUUUCCAUUACUUUGAAUUUUUUCUCUAACCACUUGCAUCGGUCUUCCAAUUCUUUCGAGAGCCCCGUUCUCACUCUUUUUUCUUCUGCUAUAUUAUCCAGAUCAGGGAUUGUAGGAUUGAUAGGGUUAUCCCCGAGAUUAGAGCCUGAGCCCGUUUGAUAAUUGAUUGGCAUUAAGGUAUCGGCCUGAAAUUGCUGAGGCCUGAUCGUAACGGACGGUCUUCGUAUGUGUAGCUCGGGUCGCAUUUGAGCAUUCAUCGGGGCGAAACUAGGGGGUAGAGGGGAUCCUCAGUAAUGGAUGGCCUCUGCGUGUGUGUCUCAUGCUGCGUUGUAGCGUUCACUGGGGUAAAACCAGGGGGUAGAGGGAAUCUCCAUUAUUAUUUCCCAUAUCGGCCAUAAGGCCCUUUCAUUUGUCCAGCCUACUAGUCAGUAGUCGGGUUAGCUCUUCCAUCAUAUUUCUUUGAGAUUCCAGCAUCUGGUCUCUCAUUUCUUGUUGGAUUUUUGCUAGCUGUUCUUGCACUUGUGCUUGCAUUUGCUCCUGCAUCUCUUUCUGCAUUUGCUCCAGUCUCUCUAGCUUUUUAUCCAUCGCUUCAGUUUUCUUCCUUGUACCGUAGGGAUAUGUAUUUGAAAGAUUUUUGUCAGUUUCCAAGUUACUGAAAUAUUUUUAAUUAAUUAGAAUCUUUUUAUUAUGCUUAAUGCACAUGAUGUAAUGUGAUGCUAAUGCAUGAAUGCAAAAAGAGGCGUUGAUUCUAAUUCAAUUUCAUUAGAAGGACUUUACUAAAAGCAAAAUUUCUUUACAUAGAAUAGAUGAUUACAUAUACGACUUUGCCCUAAUGCCCCAAGUCUUAACUUUCCUAAGAAGCCAAGCUAAGUUUCGGCCCUGAUCCGAUUCUGACUCGUAUUUUAGGCUUAAUACAUCAGCCUGAACUGCCAAGGUUUGCAGAUGAUCAGCUACCUCUCUAACUUGAGCCACGGUUUCACCCAUGACAUAAUCUCUAUUUCUGAUUUGAUCUUGAGAUUGGUAAAGUUGUGUUUUGUAAUGUUCAUUGUUUGCCUCGAGGAACUCCACUCGACUUUUUCUAUCUUAUAGUGUUGUCUUGAGUUUCUCUAUUUUCCUUUUCAUCUCCUCGAUCUUGCUCAGGUUGGCCCUCAACUCAGUUACAGAGUUACGGCUACGAUGUAGAUGUAGCGAUUUUUCCAAUUCGACAAUCUGAGCUUGUAGUUUCUCUUUUUCGCUCUGGCUUUCCAACAAACUCUUUUUCAAAACAUCUUCCCACACUCGAACAUCUUGGAACUUCUUCUCCUAGUAAUCGACUCUAGCCUUUUAUUUUUCAAUUUCUUGACGCCACUGAUCCGAUGUCUUACCCAAACCGGUAGUUCUUAUUGACACACGCAGCUUCUUAUAAUCGGUCUUUAGACUAUCCAAGUCUUUUUCAGCUUUAUUCUUCCCUUUCUUUAGCUUUUCAGCCUCUAGCUUAUGGAUGUCGACAUCCAAUCCUAGUCGUAUCUUUUCCUCCUCUAACUGCUUUAUCUUCUUUCCCAGUUCCGAGCUUCUUUUCUCGAAGUCUUGCUUAAUAAUUUCUAACUAAGAUGGGACCACUAGUAAAUGCUCUUCUAUCGGUCGGGCAUUUUCUUGAUUUGGCAUUGGGAUGUUGUCGUUGACUCUUUUACCCCACCACCAUUCAUACUCGGGGGUCGUCAUCGGACCCGUGGUGAAUCCUUUCAUUCUUCGAGUUUGGUUCCAAGCAUCUGAUAUCUCACGAACCCUCCUCUUAUAAUUGUUAUCUUUGUAGGGGAACUCAUAUUGUGCCAACCCUUGCGUCACCGGUAUAAAUUACCUCGAUCGAUAUUGCCUUAACACCAUCAGUGGAGCGUAUCCCACAGCUCCCCAUAUUCCAGCCAGAGGGACCCAAUCAAAAUUACCGCAUCAACUAUGGAGCCCUCCAUUCAACAUCUUUAGCUCAUAAAUUCUGGAGAAUAGUUAUCCAUUUCUCUUCGGAGAUGUCAUCUCGUCUUGAUGUGGCCACCAAUUCUCUUAAUAGGGAAUAGUCUUUGGAGAAAACCCUAUAAGAAAUCUUUUCUACCUUCCAAAAAUGGCUAUGGAACCAAGCCAAUAGAAGCUGUGCACAGCCAAUAAAUCUUCCUUCGCCCGCUUUCCGACAUGCAUUCAAGGACCUGAAGUUUCUGCUAAGAUUGUCGAGACGGGUGUGGUCCCUUUAUCGAGGCGAUCAAAUAAAUUCGAGAUGGCUUCAUCUACAUAUCCCAAUGCUUUAAGAAAGAUAAUCAAAUCGUAGAGACUUAAGGCGAAAACAUCAACCCUCUUUUUCAUAUACGGGUGUGCUAAGAUUAAGUCUCUUAAAUUCCUCUAAGGAAUACACUUACUAUCCCAUUUCUGUUUGAUCCGAGCUGCAACCUAUUGUUCGCUCAUUCUCGUGGUCUUCAUCAAUUUCUUUAAAAAAGUUAGAAUAUUAACAGGUCUUGAAUAAACCCUGUCGGCUUGAAUCUUUGGGCAAUUAAGUAACACCGUGUAUUCCUCCACAGAAGGUACUAAAUCAACUCCUCCGAAGGUAAAGCAACUGUAAGCAGGGUUCCAGAACUGUGCGAGGGCCCAGAACAAGUAUUUGUCCACCUUUACAUCGAGCAAAUAGGGUAGAUCACCGUAGUUAUAGUAAAAGAGUUGUUUGACCUCGCUAUUCCAACUAUUCCAUAUAUCUCUUAAUUCUUGCAGGUUGUUCUAAGUUGUACUGAUGCGAGUGAAAUCCCACAACUCCGAUUCAUAUACCUCAGUCAAACUAUCUCUUUUCUCUUGUUGCCUUCUCUCAGACUACACUCGGACGGCCGCAUUAUCCUCUACUCUAUCAAGAAAUCCCUUUUCCAUGCUAAACUCUCCUAUCUAGCAACCGAACGUGAACCAACACCCUUUUAUGAUGUCAUGCAAUAACAACAAAACACAACAAGUCAUUUAUUAAAACAAAGGAUAGAACUCAAAUUAAACAGGAAAUAAUUAAGCACCUAUUCGGGUAACCACUAGGGUUUUGUGUGGUUUUACCUAGGGUAAGCUCUUAGGGCUCAUUAUAUGUGGUUUGGUUCUAAAGUAAAGGUACCUAAACCAGCAGAUUCCUCGAUCCUCACCCAUUAUAGGCUCAUAUGGAUCGAGUUCGAUUCAGGGGAAUACAUUUCCCUACGGCUACGCAGAGAUGAAAAUCUCAUGAAGACGCAAGUAUGGAUGUAUCCCAAAAGCGAUCCACUAUCCUAUACGGAGGUGAAGACCUCAUGAAGGAGUAGUUUCUCACUUCCACUUAAAAGGUGUGACCACAACGGUCAUGCAAUGCAACAUGCGAGGAUAUAUGCAUAAAAUAACUCGAAAUAAUAAAGAAAAUAUAAAUAAAAUGAUGAAAGCUGGAUGAAAUGCAAUGAAGGGAUCGUAGGUUUAAAGCGAAUUUUCAAUUUUGACAAAAGAAAAAAAUUAAUCAAUUUAUGGCUCGACUCUCUCAUUCUUCCCUAGUGGAGUCACCAAGCUGUCGAAACCAUUUUUUGAAACGGGAAUCCACUUUGUUUGAAAGUGAGAGUUAAAACGGGAGUCGCCACCAAUAUUUGUUAGGUGUGAUUGGAUCACCUUUGUUUUAAUAAAACAAUUUUAGUUUACUAAAAUAGCAUUCUGGUCUACAAAAUUCAAGGGAACAGGUUCGGGAGUCGGUUACGUGCAAGGAAGGAUUAGCACCCUCGACACGCCCAAAAAUUGGUACCGAAUUGAUUAGUUAGUAUCUUAAUGUCAAAAAUUGAAAAUCGAGAAUAAAUUGGAAAUACGACCCUUUUUAUUAACAUCGAUCUUAAAAUUCUUGAAUUAGUUCAAAACGAUUGUUGAAGACUUCCUUAUCUCGAGAUAUUAGGGUAUCACAUCCUGUAAGUUAGGACACAAUAUCAAGAAUUCCCGAGCACAAGGUCUUCUUUAAUUAGAAUCAAAAUUCCACGUAAUUUUAAACUUAAAAGGAUAUUUAACUAUUUAGGAUCAACAAGAGAACCGAAACCCCGUAAGUUAGGGCACAAUUCUUCGAUGUCCCAAAACGAGAAAUAUUGCCUUAUUUUGAAUUUUGUUUUUAAAUAGUAGCGAAUUUGAUAUUUAGAUGAGUGACGCUUACAUGAGUUAAAAUAAAAUGAUUUAUCGGAUAAGUGCAACAACGCUUGAUUCUUGAGGCGACGACAUGGAAUAAAAGUGUAAUGCGAUAUUGAACGAUGAUACAUGAAUAAAGAUAUUACACGAGUGAAUGUUAGUAAUAUGAGAAUACGAAUCAACGAACCAUAGUACAUGCCAUGGCAAUAAUCUAAUAUAAUUACGAAUAAAUUUAAAAUAGAUAAUGUGAAAAAGAAAUUUGACAUCAACAAUGUACAAAUCAAUUUAAAAAUAGAAUAUAUGUAAAAGAAAUUUUAACAUAGAUAAUAUACAAGAUAAUCAAAGAAAUAAUUACUAUAUAUAUAUAUAAAAUAGGUAUAACAAUUUGAAAUUAAUAUAUAAAGAUUUUAAAGCAAAUAACAAAACAUUUUAAAAAGGAAUAAUACAUAAAGCGGGUUUAAAAUAAGUAAUGUAAAAGAAUUUUAAAGCCUAUAUUACACCAAGCAAAUUAAAAAGGAUUCAUAUGAAUAGAAAAUAUAUAUAUACAUACACAAAAAUGAAUAAUGAAUAAUAUAUACAUAAGCUAAAACAAACAAUAAUAAAAACGUUUUAAAAUAAAUAAAAGAGCUUAACAUAAAAUAUAUAAAACAAUUUCAAAAUAAAUAAUAUAUAAGUCAAUUUUAAAAAUAAUAAAUAAGGAUCUAAAGUAAAAGAGAGAUUUUAAAAGAAAAAAAAAGUAAUAUACAAAACAAUUUUUUAAUAAUAUGUAUAAAAUGAUUUGAAAUGCUACAUGAAUAAUAUAUGAAAAGAGCCAAACACAUAUAGUACAUACAAAACAUUUUUUGAAAGAAAGUAAUAUUUAUAAAAAAAAUUAAAGUAAAUUAUAUAGAUAAUGUGUGAAAAGGAUAAUAAGGAAAAUAUAUAUAUAUAUAUAAUAUGUAUGAAUAGUUUAGAAUACAUAACGUAUAUAAGAAAAUGAUUUAAAAUGAAUAACAAUACAAAUUUUAAGUAAUCAGUAUAUUUAAACAUGUUAAGACAAGUAAUAUACAUAAAUAAUCAAAUAUAAACAAUACAUAUAAUAUUUAGAAUAGCACACAAUAAAAUACUUUAAAACAAAUGAAUAAAUAAAUGAAUUAGAAAGACUUUGGACUUGAUUGGAGAUGAACCAGAAUGCAGAGUAUACAUUUGAAAUAACAAAGAUGAGAUAAAAGGGUAAUUUGUAACAAAAUAAGAAUAUAAAGGGGCAAAAUAGAAAAUGCCCCAGAUCCAUUUAAGUGCUGCAUUUUUUGGACCAAAAUGAAUUGAAACAGAAAUUAAAUGGCUAAUUUAAAAACAUGAAAAUAAGGAAUGUACUGCAUUAAAAGGGCGCAAAAAUGUGGAGGGACUCAUCGCGUAAAUAGCCCAAGGUUACAAAACACGCGGAUCCUCUCCUAUCCAGGUCGAGUCGCACGUGGAUGGUCCAAAACGGUGCUGUUUCGACACCUGGACUCCCACCUAAAACGGCGCCGUUUUCGUAAGUGUAUGAAAGGCCCUUUUUUUUGUUUUAUUCCAUUUUAGCCCUAGAUUUUUCUGAAAAAAAAACUGCAGCCCUUCUUUCCUUCCCCCUCUUUCUUGCGGCUAGGGCUUCAAAUCCCUCAUGGCCACCGUUGCCAUGGUGCCACCACCGGCGGUGGUCAAUGACGCGAGGAGAUAGGCUUAUUCAGCCCUUUUUAGAUCCAUAUUCGAGGAUCUAGUGUUUCCUUCAUGAAAAAUCAAGAGGGAAGCCCCCCACCUUCGUCGAAUCCGGUUCAAAUGGAGAAGAACUCCGACGAUACCGACGGUUCAAGGUUCAGGUAACGACUUUCUCUCUUCCUUUUCCCUUUUUGUUUCAAAACUGAUUUUUUGAAAAGAAAAUCAAAAACAAAAAAAAAUAAAAAAAAUUGAAGAUGUAUAUAAAAUAAAGAAACGGAAAUAAACAGACGCAAGAAUAAAUUUCAACCUUUUCCCUUUUUUUUUUGAUUGCUUGAAUCGUCUGCGUGUAUUUACAAACUGAC
rnacentral:lncRNA from 1 species